AGGAGAAAUAAAGAUAACUAUUAAGGAUAGCAUAAUGCCAAUUGAUUUUCAUGAAUAAGAGAUCCUCAAAUGAUAGACGAAUUUUCAAAGCCUUCAAAGAAAGUAUAUAUUGAAUUUAAUGUAGUUUGAUUGUACCGGGGACUGGCUAUGUGAGGGUGUGUAAGACGGAACUCCCCAUUUUCAAGGAAUUGACAAUUAAACUGGUGCAUGCAGAGGAAAGAUAAUUAAACUGGUACCUGUGGAAACACGUGAAAAGUGCUAUCACUGAGAUGAAUAUUUAGGAGAAGACAACAUUUUCAUCAUGCUGAUAAAACAACAGGAGCCCUGUGAAAGAAAUAAAUGGGCAUGUACUUUCCUCGAAAGACAAUCUUAUUCACCGCAGAAGACACUGGAGCCUUCAAUAGUUGGAGCUGGGGCCUUCACCAGGAAGCAGUCUUUCACCUAUGUUUUUGCUCUACCUUUCACUCUUGAUAUCAACUUUGGUACAAGCAUGAUCUUUGGCUAUCAGACCCUAUCGUAUAUCUGUAAAAUUUGAAAAUAAAGAGGUGCCUAAAAUA